GCGAUAUGUUUACGUUAUAUAGCUCAUAUUACAUUACUUCUAAUCUUUUGUGAAAGGAUAUCUGGUAAUUCUAUAUUUGAGAAGUUGAUUAGACUAAAGCUAUAUCGUCAAUUAAUAUAGUCUGCCACCUACAUGUCAGUCAAAUUAUGUAAUUGUUGGUAUGCCCAAGGCAAUGUGUUCUCUUAAUUAAUAUUACUAAUAUAAUGUUAGAGAAGAAGUCAAUUUAACUACAUUUUUCUUAAUAUUACUAAGAAAAUGUAUGGGACUAACCUGUUGUGAGCUAUAAUAUAUAACUUUACAUUGUGUCAUGAGAAAUUUUCGUGAGAAUGGCGUAAUGACUCUCUGACAUUAAAAUCAUUAUCUCUCUAGAAGAUAUGGAUGUUGUUAUUUGAUUUUAUCAAUUUAACUUUAAUCGAGUUGAUGACAAAGUUGGUUGAGGGAAAUUUUAUAAUUUGGAAAAGGAGAAGUAAGGUUGCCGAAGAAGGAGAAGCAAGCUGGGAAAGAGGAAGAUCGGGAUUGGGCAGCGGCGGGGGUUGGGGGCGAUGGUAGGGUGGGUGCGAGGGCGGGCGGGCUGGUACGUGGUGUACACGAAACGUGAAAGUACACGACACAACACGAUUGACAGGUCUAAUUUAUACUCCCUUGGUGGCACUAAUCUUGUUCAUCAAUCAAAUUCCAUGUUUUAUUCAAUCAUCUUAAAUACACUAAUAGUUACCAAAGAUUAUAUUGUUUGUAAUUAACUUGACAUAAUUAGCCCUCAACCUUCUUGUAUAAACCGAAUUUGGGGAACAAUUUUCGGACAUACAAAAUUGGAAUUGUGGCCAAUAUAAAUGGGAGGCAAUAAAAUAUCCUAACGAGUCAUUUUUUGUUAUAAUUAAAACACAUUAAUACAUUCUCAUUAGAACGAACAUGUCUAGGUUAUUCAGUUAUUAGUCUUUUGAUAGGCUUAACUUUCAGGAACUUAUUUAACACGUUUAAUAAAAAUACUUAUUUAACCUACCCGAUAAAAUACUUAUUUAAUCUUAACGAACAUUUAUUAAUUAUUUAAAAGUCUAUUUUAAGUAAAAACACAUACUUUCUGACAUAAAUGUAUCUUCAAAAUAAAAUUGGAUAUUAAAACAUAUUAUAUCCUUAAAUAUGUAAUAAGCGUGAGGAGGAUAAUUUGGUUGUUUAGUGAGUACCAUGAGAAGGAUAAUUUGGUUGUUUAAUGAGGAGGAUGGACCUAGAUGGGUUGGGUUGAGAGUUUGGCCUAGUAGGGGUGGAACUGGGGAGGGCCUAGUUUUGGCUCUUUAAGAUUGUCUGGAGCCUGUCCAGGACUUGUAAGGAGCCUUGGAGAGGCCCUAGAGGGCCCGGGGUGGAUUGAGUGGGGGUGAGGGUCGGCCCUAGGUGGGUGAUGACAUAUAGGGGGUGGGUGAUGACAUAUAAGGGGUGGGUGAGUUCAUUUAGGUAUAGUUUCUCUUGAUUUCCAUUUUAGUUUUUAUUUUAGUGGUUUCUAUUUGAGCAAUUGCCUAUAUAUAUAUAUAUAAUAUAAAUAAUUCAACACUUAAAAUAUGAACAAAAAAGUUAAUUUCCAAAACAAGUUCUAAAAUAAAAUACUUUCUGGAUGAUUAUUAUUCUGCUGUAGAAUCAUGCUGGAAUAUUGCAUAAUUUUCAACGAGUUCUAGAAUAAAAAAAUUAAAUAAUUUUGUUUUCAAUCUACUAAUUAAGAUUUGUAAUUAUAUUUCACAAAAAUAUAACAAAUAUAUGCAUAUAUAUGUAUGUAUACAUACACACACAAUUGCUCAAAUACAAACCAUUAAAAAAUAAAGGGAAAUUCUCUAUGGUACAUUUGUGUAAUUGGCUUUUCCCGUUGGUACAACUACAUUUUUGACUUCUACGCAUGAUACCCUCAUGGUAUAAAAACUUUCUCAACGAUACCCUUCCAUUAGGCUAAACAUUAGUCGGUCGUUAAUUUUGACGGAAUUCCAAUUAUCAGAUAAUUUUUAUAAUGCAAUAAAUUGAUACCCACUCCACCGGAAAAUCCCGCCUCAAAACAGUCAAUCUCUUUCUCUAAGCUUCCUUUCUACUUAUACUGGGCAACAACCAUUAUUGUGAUUUCGAUCAGCCAUCUCAUAACGGCGGUGUUGUGGUUAAGCCGUCGGCCGCCCUUUCUCUCUCAACUCGUCGUACCAUCUUCCAUCGCUAUUCCCUCUUUCACGAAUCCCCCAAUACCACCUGUAACCCAACCCCUACUUCCCUCCUGUAAUACUAACGCUGUCGCCUCCGAUCUCCAGUUUCGGCGACACGACCCAUCACACGUUAUACUCUCACUCCCUCUUCUCUUGUGGCUUCGAUCCCGACCAGACAACGCUACAUCGCCGCCAAUCAUCGUUGUGACUCCAUCAGAACACACACGCACCACACAAACACAACCCCAACACACACAUACAAACAUCAAUUUGAGGAAUCAAUUAAACAAAAUUCAAACAAUCAAUUAAGAAACCGCAAGAGUACCAUUUCGUUAAAAGAACAAGCUUGCAUAAGGAUACAUAAAUGUAUAAUUUAAUAUAAUUUAAAUAUUCAUUAAAUAUUUAGUUUUAUACUUGUAAUCAGCCUGUUUACUUAAACUUAACGUUUUGUUAACGUUUUAUUAACAGAAGUGUAUAGGUGGGAGUGAAACAUUAUUNAAUCAGCCUGUUUACUUAAACUUAACGUUUUGUUAACGUUUUAUUAACAGAAGUGUAUAGGUGGGAGUGAAACAUUAUUAUGAAGGUAUCAUGCGUAGAAGUCAGAAAUGUAGUUGUACCAACGGGAAAAGCCAAUUACACGAGUGUACCAUAGAGAAUUUCCCAAAAAUAAACUAAGAGAAACCACCCCUAAACACACCCACCCACUAUAUGUUAUCACCAACCUAGGACUUGCCCCACUCACUCUAUCCGGGCUCACUAGAGCCUUGCCAAGACUCCGGACAGGCUCUACACAGCCCUAAGAGCCAAAACUAGGCCCUCCCCAGUUCCACCCCUACUAGGCCAAACUCUCAACCCAACCCAUCUAGGCCCAUCCUCCUCAUUUUAUAUGUAUUCUAUAAUAGAAUAUAUAAUAAAAUUAAUGAUUUAUAAUGACAUAUAUAAUAAGAUUGGGGUUUCGGAGCCUCCAUCUUGCCAUUGUAUGCACUAUACUAGUUGCUUACAAAAGUGAGGCGAAGGAAAGAGAGAAAGCAACGACCAAGCAUUUGGGAUUCAUAGGAACUUUUUUUUAUGUUCUUCAUCGCCGAUCGUCACUUGUAUCAGCCGGUAAGACUCUGAGCAUUUAAUCAAUUGUUUUCAGAUAGAUCUUCGGUUAGGGUUUCAAAAUUUCGGGUUUAACAUAUGUUUCCUCUUUAUGUGACCGAAAGCCAACACUAAUUUCCGAGAUUUAGGGUAUUACAGAGCCAUCAAAUCUUUGCUUUCAUGAUAAUCUUAUAUAAAUUGUUUUUUAUAUUUUAAUUCCCUGAUUGGUUUGUUUCCCCUUUUGGUUGAGAAUCACUCACUUCCUUGUCUAUAGUAAUAAAUGUUUUUCUUGUUUAAAGAGCUUCCCUAUCUUGUUAAUUAGCAUUUAAUAUAUAGUUGUUAAUCAACAUAUAAUAUAUAGUUCAAGAUCCCUGCCCCUUUAUAGCAGAGGUGGAGUUUCACGAGAAUUUGACGCUCAAUUUUUAUCUUUGUAAUAGUUGGAUAAGUGACCAGAGAAAGAUCACCAAAGUGAGACCGGAGAGAGAGAGAGAAAAAGACGAACAAGCGUUCUUGAGCUGGAUACGUUGGGAUUCGAGCUUUUUUCUGUUUCUGCGUCACUUUUCUUCACUUCAUUAGCUGGUAAGACUCCGAGCAUUUAAUUAAUAGUAUUUACAUAAAUCUUUGGUUAAGGUUUCAGAAAUUUGGUUUUAACAUAUGUUUUUUUAUAUGUGAUCAAAAGCCAACACUAAUUGGGGAGCUUUAGGCAUUCUAGAGCCAUCAAAUUAAAUCUUUUCAUGAUUAUCCUUUAUAAUUUGUUUUUUUUAUAUUUUUAUUCGUUGGUUUCUUUCUCCCCUUGGUUGAGAAUCACUAAGUUCCGUAUUUUUAUUAAUAAAUUAGUUUUUGUCUUUAAGAGAUUUCAUAUCUACUUAAUCAACAUCUAGUAUGUGGUUCAACAUCCCUCCCGCUUGUAGCAAAAAUGGAGUUUGAUGUGAAUUUUAAAUUCUAGUUUUUUUGUCUUUUUAAUAGUUGUAUGAUCGUUCAUAUUCUCAAUCAUGUAAACAUGUAAUUGUUCAUGUUUUUUUUUAAUAUUUGUGCAUAAAGUACAUUUCAUUAUUCUUCUCUUGGUUAAACAUCAUAGGGCCGCAAUUGGGAGAAACCCACAACCCAUAUAAAAGAGACAAACCUAGCUAACUGAGCUACUCCGUGGAAACAUCUUUGAGUGCAUCUUUUGACAAAUGUAUUCGCAUGUCCGUGAUUUAUCUGAGUAGGAACUUGUCUAUGUGAGUUGGACCAGGUCACUUAAUUUAUUUUUCUUUUUUCGAAUUCUAGUAGUUAAUAAGUAUUUAAUCAAUAAUUAAAAAGUACUAGGUAGUAUUUGCUUGGUACUCUUAAAAUCCAACAAAUUUUAAAGAAUUGUGCGAUAUGAUAGAUUGUUGAGGAAUUUAAUUGGUUUUUGUGUAUAUAACAUAUCCAUGUUGAAAUCCUGAAAUCCCACUAGGGCUUCCAUGGAUUUAGGUAAUGGUUUUAACAUUUUUAUGUAUGUACAUAUUUAUAUCAUGUUACUUAUUUACAUUGUUACAUUAUUUUUGUAUAUAGUAUAUAUUUAUUUAUUUUGUGCCCGGGAUAGCUUGAGCAUGCUUCUUGACUGAUCUCAAAGGAUGACUAGCAUAGCGUUUGGGUAACUCCAUCCAAAUUUAUGCACCUACCAGUACCUACACAAUCUCACGUUCGCAUUUAUCACUUUAGCCCAAGGUGGGUUAUAUAUAUCACUUGUGUCAUAUAUGUUAUCUUUUCAUGCUCAACAUGUGCAAUUAUACAUCUUUUUUAACUUCAUAUUUUUUUAGAAUUUUAUAUCUUUUUCUUGUCGAGUAAAAUUUCAUAUCUUUAUUUAUGUAUACAUAUAUAAACAUAUUGUGGUGUAGUAAUAUAAUAUGAAGAAUAACAUUACAAAAUCAUAUUAAAAUCGUUACUUAUCUUCAUGUGGUUGAUUUUAAGUAGUGAAAAUAGUUUGGUUUUUAUUUUUAUUGUGAUAUCUUGUUCUAAACAUAUAUAUGGGUCACGAAUUUUAAUUAGAAUAAUUAAAUGUGUUUUAAUUGGAUAUUUAAAAAUAGUCAGGCCCGUUGACGUUUUUGAAUUUAACACCUCUUCAUGUGUUUUAAUCGGAUAUUUAAAAAUAGUCAGGCCCGUUAAAGUUUUUGAAUUUAAUAAGCUUGGACCGGCCCAAAUACCGAUCGACUGUCCUACCAUGACUUUUGAUGUUUCUAUUUUAAUAGUAUUGUAUUGUGUUGAUAUUACUUUUAUUGUAUAAUAUAUCAUUUGGUUUUGCAUAAUGAUAAAAGGUAUCAUAUCAAAUCUAAUUUUAAAAUUAAUACAUGGAAGCCUAUUAGUUAUAUUUGAUUAGGGUCUGAAAUUCAUUUGAGACGCCCUGAUACCAAGUUAGGGCUGAGCUUGGUUUGGCCCGUUUUGAAGGGCCGAACCAAAACAAAGUUUUCCGUUUCUAUUGUAACAGCUUAAGGGCCAAAUCUUGUUUAAGUUAAAUGGUCAUAGAAAUUAGAUAUACAAAUAUUAUAUAACUUAAGUAAUAAGUAAUUCCCUCUUCUAAAGCUCUUAGAUUUUUUUAUUUUUGAUAAUUAGAUAGUAGUUGCAGAAGUUGCCAAACCAUCUGUGACCUGUGCAUGUCUCUAGCAGCGCACGUAAUCUUCAACACAAGUAAUCAAAGCAGCCACUGUUUGUGUUUGGAUAUCAGAUGUCUUUAUUGUGGUGGUGAAUCACGAUAGAUGUUUACCAUCUGGUAAAGCGAUGUAAGAGCAAAGUUUUGAAACAACUGAACCAUCCUUCUACUAAAAAGAUCACUUAUCUUUAAGACUUUAACUAGCCCUCCUAAAGCCCAGAUAGAUCUUUGUUGAUUAUUUUGAUUAUUGUUUAGCAGUUGCAGAGCAUUGGGUGCCCCACUUAUAUAUGCACUAUGCACACAUAAUCUUAAUAUAGAUAUUCAUUAGUUAAUAGUAUCUGAAUAUGUGAUGUUCGUUGUGGUAAUGGAUUACAUUAGAUGUUUUGCAUAGGGUAAAUGGUGUAAGAGAAAUGUUGCAAAGCAACUAAACGAACGUGUAUUCGAAUUUUGAAUUGGCUUUAAACCAUAUUUCACCCUAUAUGUGGUUUAUUGAGAAGGUAACUUUUUGUUCCUUACUGAAUAAUAUGGUCCAAGUGAAGUGGGAUAUGGGUAAAACAUUAGGUGAAGAGAUGUAACAUACAGUAUUGAAUAAUUAAUUUAAGUAUUAGGCCUUAGGUGACCAGAUAAAUCUUUUUAGAGGAAAGGGAUUGCUACUGGAUUGCAGCAAGUUCACAGUUACUUGAUUUUAACAGAUUAUUUUUCCAUCAUCACCAGAAAUUAUGAAUCAAAAUGAAGCUCUCGCUGCUGAGGACAACAUCGAAGCAGUUUUGGAGAAUGUGAGGAAUAUGACCUCACAGGAGGCUGAUGCAGCUGUGCACAAAGCACUUGAAAAGUGCUGUGUGGCAGUGCGGGCGGCAGAGAACGCAAGUAACAUGGCAAAAAUGGCUGUAAGUCAUUACCAAGCCUUGAUGGAGUCUCUCAGAAACAAUACAAUGACUGGUAAAAUGUCAUUUAAUUAUACUUCUUAUGCUAAUUUAUCAUGUUUUCUCUUGGUCCUGAAAAUGGCUUGACAAAUGUUACAUGACUGCAGUUUAUUAACUUUAUGGAACCAAUAACAGAAUAAACCUUGUUAAGGAAGAGACCUCAAACUGGAUGUUAUGUAGUGUAUCACUUUCUUGAUGUUUAUGUAGGUUUCCAAGUUUUUGAACAGAAAAUUAAAAUGCAAUAAAUAUGAAUUCUUAAUUGUUUAAAUAUUUGUAUAUAAGGUAAUCAUUUUUGAUUUUAUACGUGUGCAAAAUGUUAACUUUUGAUAAAUAAAUAUCAAGUUAAAGAUGCAGAUUGCUAGAAAGAACCUUUUCACGAAAGGCAACUCUAGUACAGAGUCAGACAUGGCCUUUUUUCUGGGAUAUAGUUAAUUUUUGUUUAGAGCAUAGUUGCUAGCAGGGUCCUGGAAUGAGAACAACCCUUUAGCCACGAGAUAAUAUUAUUAUUGAAAUAUUUCUACCGCGGUAUAUGAAUGAUUUUCCUUUAUUAUCUUGUUGAAAGUUGCUUCCUGCACUUGUUCUAGCUUUGAACAUUAUAAGCUUCCUCAUUUUACAUGAAAAAUUGAAGCAGAGUCAGAGAACAUGUACAGUCAUCAAACUUUGUUGGAAGCUGCUGACGAAGCAACUGCAAAGUGUGAUGCUGCAGCGCAGGUGCUACAAGCUUCAUUACCUGUGGCAGUCGAUGCAAAAAGGCUUGUUGAAGCCAUAGAUAAGGCUCGUGGAAAACGUCCGAUGACUGGUAAAUCAUCAUUCCAUUGUUAUACUUAGGCUUGUUUCCUCAUUUUUCUGUUACCUAUGAAAGUUAUUGGCAAUAAAAAGUUAUCUUUUAAAAGGUUUUUUAUAUGAUUUUGAAAAUAAUACUAUAGAAAUUUCAUUGCUUAAUAUUCAAAUACUAAGUUAAAAUAUCCACAACUUCUUUACAAAUCAACUUUGUUGAUAUAUUCUAUUUAAAUAGUACCUCUUAUUUAUGUGGAUAAAAGUGCAAAUACACAGUCUGCUAUGAAGAACCUGUUUUAAUUAGGCAACCUUAGUGGUUACUGAAAGCUUAGCAAUUUCACUGUGUUGUGCUUUGGAAAAUUGCUCCCUCCACUCGCCCUUACUUUCUCCUCAAUAACCUCCCUCAUUUUACAUGAUAAAUUGCAAAUUUUAUGUACGUUACAUCAAGUUUCGGCCGAUUAUAAGCUGACAUGCAGCAAGAUAAAAGAGCUUGUCCCUUACUGGAUAAGGUAGGACGCACAAAAGAUGUCUCGAGUAUGCAACCGAUACAGUUGACAUCAAUGCAUUGGUAAAGUCAAACUACAAUGUGUAUAUAUCCCGUGUCAUGAUGCCAUGUGUCAAUUGGAACAUCUUCUGUGAGUCCCCUAUCACGAGAUUCUAUGUGUAGCAUACAAGUUUUAUAUAUCUUAGCAGAGGAAUUUCCCCUGAUGUACCAUUGGAAACUUUAACAAAAUCCAUAUGUAAAGGUAAUCUUACUGCCCAACGAUGCCAACCUCAAAUGAUAACUCGAUUUGUAUAGAGGCUAGUUAACUAUUAGAAGCCCUAUCAUUUUCUUCAGAUCUCUAAUUUGAAGUACAUUAGUUAUAAUGCUCUAGCUCAACAUUUUAUUCUUAUGUAGUAUCUCUCCUAAAACUUGCAUAUCUAGCUUGCAUAUUCUAAAAUCAUAAUUUUUUUUGGACCGUGGCUGCAGACUUGCUGUCAUAUACUCCCUCCGUGCCUCUAAGUAGUUUAUGUUCACUAUUUGCACGUAUUUUGAGGCUCCUAUAAAGUAUAGCACCAUAACAUUUUUUUUAAAUUUUCUUUUUUUGAAUAAAAGUUUAAACAUCAAACUUUUAUUCAGGGAAAAAUAAUUAAAAAAUAUAUUAUGGAAUUAUAUUUUAAAUGAGUCUUAAAAAACAUGCUAAAAAGUAAUGUAAAGAAUUGAGAGAGGCAGAGGGAGUAUAUAUAUAUAUAUAUAUAGAUGCCCUAGAAGUUCCUGAAAAUCUAGUUUAAUGCAAGCAUUUCUUGCAUGAAAACUAAUUAAAUUUUGUACUUGUCGUUAAUUCUUAUUGCCAUUCUCACUAAUUGGAUUCUAAACCAUGCAGACUGUGAGAGCGGAGGUGCUUCAUCAUCAUAUGGAGGUGCUUCAUCAUCAUAUUGACGGCAUGGACUUUACAAAGCAUCUGCUUUUGUUCUCAUCAUCAUAAGCGUGCCUGUGGCUGUGCCAUGUUCUUAAGAUAUAUGAAUCAGUGACCUGACAUUUGAAGAAUAUAUUUCAGUUUUCUGACCUUUGAGCGUGAAAGAACUGUUAUGCACAUUUUGUCUGGAUGAAUGGGUCAGGUCUAUGUUUAUUUGCGUGUUCAACAUGCAAUUCCUCAGUGUGAGUUUUAGUAAAUUUUUUUAAAAUUAAUGUUUGCUUCUCCUAUAUUUGAGCUGCAUGCUAGUCUGUUCGACAUUAUUUCUUCUCGUCUUGCAAGUCCUGAAAAUAGCAAAAAUAAGUUCAAACAAAUUUCUAAUUUAUUUGUUUAGUAACAACGGACAUGACCAUAACUAGUCACGAACAUAAUAGUAUCAUCUAGGCGAACUAUGCCCUCAUAUAUGCUAUUAUUUAGGUAGAGAACACCGUAGAUGAACAUUGUCAGCUUUUCAUCUCAAAUGGAAAUGUGAUCUUAUUCUGUCAUAUUGGGUCUGACCUCAAAUAAUUUAUAAUAAGUGAUAAUCUUGUACACUUUCAUAAUGUCAAAAGCAUGACACGCAAUUUUUGCUCUGAGAAGAGUAGCGGCCAAAUAUUCAAUUAUUCAUGUUCAUAUCAAGUCAUAUUGAGGAUAACAUGAUUUAUCGUUAAUAUCAUCAUAUGGAGGAUAACUUAUCGGUUUCGGAUAUAUAGAUGAGAUCAGAGUGACACUCCAAAACCCUUAUCAAUAUAUUGAAUCGGUGUUAACCUACUAAUAAAACUUCAUCUUAUUUAUUUAAUAAUAUAAAAUACUAAUGAUAUAUUAUUAUCCUCAAAUUUUAACUAAUAUUAUUAGAACAUUUGGUGUUGGUUAAGAGAUUUUGUAAAUUUAUUUUCGUCCAUAAGAGAUUGUGAUCCACUAACACUCAUUAUAAUGAUUGACUAUAUUUUAAAAUUAGUAUAUUAUUAUUAUUAAUAUUUAAGUUGAGUUUAAUAAAAUAUAUUAUUUAAAUACAAUCGGGGAUAAUAUGACAUUUCACAACAGAUAUGGCUAUACCAUUUUAUUAUAUUUCAUAUUAACUUCUAUUUAUAAAUAAGCGAUAAUGAAAAUUUGAUACUGACAAAUUAUGACUUCCAUUACUAUCCUACUGAAGAAUGUUAAGAAAAUCUUUAUUGCUAAAUUAAUGAACGAAGAGUAUUUUCAAUCCCAUGAAAUUAUGUCUUUUCUGUAUAAAGGCUCCCUGAAAUUCUGAUAUGAGAUGGUCCAUGUGGAUUUCAAGUCUUUUGGCCAGGACUUUGGUUAGAAACUUCAUCUAAGCAUUCAUUAGACUUAUUGGUCUAAAAUGAGCCUGUGUCUUCGGAUACUAACAUUUUGAAAUAAGACCUGUAAAAGACGAGUUUGUACCAUAUGACAAGUACCCCGAGUCAUGGAAGGCUUUGAAAAAAGAUAAGCAGACCACUUUUGCUGAAUUCCAUAGACAUUUGAGUACACUAACAUUCAUGCUGUUAGGUCUCGGCACCUUGUUGCCAUCCAUAUUGUCCAAUGCUUCUUUUAUCUCUUUUAGCAUAAUUUCAUCUACUAUGGAUUUGUUAUUAGAUUCAUCUAAUGUGUUGUGUUGAGAAGAUCCUUUCCAACAUGAAAUAUUUUCCUCCUCUUGCUAUCUGUUAAGAGACCUUUAAGAUGAACUAGAAGAGUUUCCUCUCUAGGUCAUGUACCCAUCUACCUUGAAUCUGUAGGCCUAGUGUUGCAUUGAAAUUUCUCCUUUUUGCUAUUGCCAUGUGGAAGUAUCAAGUGUUGCGCUCUCCUUUCAAAGACCACGAGUUUCUUGAUGCUUGACAAAGCAUAAUUGAACGUAUUUUAUACAUUUGAUCCAACCGCUCCUUAAUCUCAUGAUUAACAUCCAAAGGUUGGUUUGUUUCAUCCACCCAAUCUUGCUCCCUUUUAAGGUCCAUGAUCUUGGGGACAAUAUUACCAUGUAUCUCCAAGUUUCAUGUUUUUCUGCGUUCUUUUAUGAACUCACAUAUGAAGGCUCCCUUACCAAACUAACCAGUUUGAACGUGUUAUUUUCAAAAACAACCAGUUCCGUUUCGACUUUUCAAAACUUACCAGUCUAAUUAAUUGGAACUCGGGCGACCCCUAUUACGUUUUGGCCACCACAUGGGUCGCCCCAGCCAUGGGCGACCCCUGUUACUUCUUUUUGCUUCAUAGGUCGCCCUAUACACGGGCGACCCCUGCUGAUUUUGUUUUCUUAUUUUUUAUUUUUAUUUUUUUUUGUCAUAAGAUUUUCACGUCAUUGAAUUGUAUGGAAAUACAAUACUGAAGGAAUCGGAGAGCUUUUUCAUACAUGAAAAACUUUCAUCUAACCAAUAGACAUGUCGAAAAGCGCCACAAAAUUAGAUAAAAAUUUUGAUGUCUGAAAAAAAAACACUCUAAGGAGAAGCAAAAUCCGCACAACUAAGAAGAAAGGAAAACUUUCAUUCAAAAAAGUCUACCGACUAACCAAAUGUCAUGCAGAGAUGGCCCCGAAAAUUUAGCCAAUAAAACUUUAAUGACUGAAAAGAAAACCCGGAUGAAAAACAAAAGUCCGCGGAAAGGAAGAAACUAAAUAGGGAGAGAAAAAAAGGAGGAAAGAAAGAAAGAAUCAAGCACGAAAGGCUAUGCUAGGCACCGAAACAAAAUCAUCAAAAAUAACACAAUCGUUAAAAAACGACAAACAAAAUCAAAAUACACAAUCAAAAAGCCAUCAACUAUGGCACUCCCUCGAAAGGGCACAAUAAUAAAAUCAAAGAAACAACAAGUCUUAUAAAUCUAGUUAUAAAACGAAUCAUAAAAAUCAAAAACUAUAUAUAUAACCAAUUACAAAGGACAUAUAAGACCAAUAUAUUUAAAACCACUAAAACAAAAAAUUUCGAACUCAUACCAUUGUCGUGGGGUCAAUUCACACAAUCCUUACCUUAUCGAAUAUAAAUAUAUGUAAUCAUUGCUAUGACUAAGAUUGAAUCGCAAUCGUUUUACCCGUCAUUGACUCAUCUCAAUUGAUUUAACACCAAAACAAAAUCUUGAAAAUUGAGUAGAUCUAAAAUCUUGAAACGGAUCCGGGAGGGAGUAUUAUUGAGAAAGCGAGAACAAAUCACGAGAAAUAAACUAAUUCGGAACUUUUCAUCGGUGAAAAUCGAUGAAAUCUCCGACGACGGCUGGAAAAAGAAGGGAGAGAGGAGGCUAGGGUUUUUGCAAGAAGGGAGAGAUCACAUCUUUCUUGCAAAGUCGUAGUGUAAGAAGGGUUUUCUUAUUUUAUUUAAAUGAAUAUUAACUAAUAUGGCUUUUUUUUUAUAAAUUCAAUUGUUUUGUUUAUGUUAAUUAUUAAGAUUAACUAAAAACAAAGAUUAAUUAAUAUAAAUAGAUAUUACUUAGCAUUCCGAGUUGCAAAAUUUAAUAACUGAAAAUCAAAUUAAAUUUGAUUAAAAUGAGAACAUGACAUAAGUUCGAAAGCCUUAAUGUUCUCAAUCCUGAGUGAUGUCGACAUAAUAUUCAUCAUCGUCGUUGUCAACAUCAUCAUCCACCGGGGUAUGCUUUUUUGGUUCAAGGCAAUGACAAUUAUAAUUGAUAUUGGGCACAUCUUCCCAAUUUCCCCAAAAUUCAGCUUCCGCAUCAAGUUUAGCCUGCAAUGCAUCACAUUCUUUCUUGAUUCCUUUCAUGUAUCGAUUGUAGCGAGCAUCAGAAAAUGAGAUACCCAGCCGACGAAGUCUGUCAAAAUAAAGUUGCUCAACUUCAGGAUAACGAAUCGACUCGUCAUCAACCUCUUGCUCCGUCAGCAUCCAAUCUUUGCCCUUUUUGACUCUCCUAGCAGUAAACUUGCGUAAACGAUAGUAGAAAUCAUUCCACUUGAUCUCUUGAGCGUGCUCUUGAGCCUGACGACGUUUCCCCUAUAAGAUCUCCUCUUUCAGGCUCAUUGGAGCCCCCUUAAUGGUUUACAGAAAAUCAAUAACUCAGCAAUAAAGUAAAUCUUUGAGCAAUAUCCACAGGCUGGCUGAUUGAAUUAUUGCAUGAUUUGAAUGAAGCUUGCAGAAAAUCCAGUGUUCAAUGAAUGCUUCGUUCAAACAUUAUGCUGCAUAAAUUGAUAUAGCAUGGUUUGUAAGAAAAAAGCUGAUGCGGGGAGCUGAUGUGACCAUACGUUUUAAAUUAAUUAUUUGCACACCCUUCAAAAAAUAGUUCUCAGCAUCACAUUUCAAUAAUUACUUAAAAAAAUUAUAUAUAUAUAUCAAAUUUUGAUUUCAAAAAUUAAUAUAACCCUUAAUAUAAGUUUCAAUAUUAGCUUAAAUAUUAAGUUCAUAAGAAAUAUUUAUUGAAAAAUAAAUUUCAAGUUUGGUCGCCCAUAAUAGGGGCGACCUUGGCUGGGGAGAGAUCCCACAACAAAGGUCGCCCGUGGAAGGGCGACCAGUGUCAAGGGUUGGGGUCGCCAGAUGCAGGGGCGACCCUUGCCCCUCCACCCCACAGUAGGGCUGCUCAUGGGUUGUCCAACCCGUUAAAACCAACCCAACCCAACCUUAAACUAGGCCGACUAACCCGACCCAUUCCAAACCGUGGGUUAAUUGGGUUGAUUUUUGGUUGAGCCGUUUAUAAUGGGUUGGGUCGAAAUAUAACUUUUAAGAAACCUUAAACCAACCCAACCCGGUCAAAAUACAUCUUUAACACUUUGAUAAAAUAUUUUUGGUUCCUCAAGGAACUAUAUUUACUUAUUUGAUGAUAGAAUGUGCAGUGAGUGUAGUGCAAUGUGCAGAAACAAUUAGAAAUAAAGCUUUGUAGUUCAAAUCAAACGACUCACAUUGCUAGUUCUUAUGAUUAUAUAUCAUGGCAGAAACAUUAUUUUUAAUAGUUAUUACUUUAUUAAGAUUCAGUUGUCCACCUUAGUAUGGAAAGAAUAUCUGCACUCUAAAAGCACAUGAUAUUUUGUAUCGGUGCAUGUCCUAUGUUAUUGCUAAUUGUACAAAAGAAAAUGGUGCAAAACAUAUUUUGGAUUAUGCUUAUCUUGCAAAUUUUUCAACCCGAUUAACCCUACCCUAACCAACCCAACCCGUCAUACAAUUAGUAGGGUUGGGUUUCUAAUUAUUUUUAUGGUUAAUGGGUUAAAUUUUUGUAACCCGUACUAAAUGGGUUGGGUCGCUUGAAUGGCUGAAACCGGCCCAACCCAGCCCAUGUGCAGCCCUACUGCACAGCACAGGUCGCCCGUACAAGGGGCGACCCCUUCUCCAAAUUUUCUUGAGUUUGGGUCGUCCGAGUUCCAAUUAAUUAGAAUGAUUAGUUUUGAAAAGUCGAAACGAAACUGUUUGUUUUUGAAAAGAACGCGUUCAAACUACUUAGUUUUGUAAGGGAGCCCACAUAUGAACCCACACUUUUCUUGUGAUUUUUGGAACAUGAUAACUAGGCGAAGUGUGCUCCUAAACUCUUUAAUGGUUUGAUGAAUAAUAGGAGUUUAGCCUUCAAUGAUUCGGUAAAUAGUGGGAGUUAACGGUGUCAAUCACUCAAUAAUAUUAUAAAUAAAUUAAUAUUAUAUUUAAAAAUUAUAAAUAUAUGCUAAAAUCUAAGUUAAAAAAAGGCUAAUUGAAAUUAAAUUUUAUAAAAUGGUAAUUUUUAUUUAAAAAUUUACACAUAAUAUCAUUAUUAUAUAAAUAAUAUUUAAAAUUUAGUUUAGGUUUUAGUUAUUAUAUAUAUUUCAUUAUCAUGCAUAAUAUAUUAUUAAUAUCAAAUUUUAUUAGUCGCUUAUUUAUAUUAUACUAUUUUAGCUUAAUAUUAUUUAUUUUUUUCUUAUUUAUUCAUUAUUUAAACUAAAAAUAUGUUAAUAAUAUAUUAAUAUUUAUCUCCACUUAAUAUUAUUUAUUUUUUAAAAAUAUCGUUAUUUUUAAAUUUGAAUUUUCCAUAAAUUUUAAUUUACUUUAUAAGAUUAUUUAACUUAUUUUAUUCUUCUUUAAAAAUAAAUAAUAAUUCAAUACUGAAAAGUGACACGACAUCUACACAUAUAAGCGAAACUGAGUAAUGCAUAAUUAUAUCGCUUUCUACUUAGAUUGACAAUUAAUUGAUUUUUCUAAUAGAUACGUAAAUGUUUAAAUACUUUCAGUGUUGGCAAUAAAUGUAUCAUCAUAAAAAGCCUUUUUCACUAAAUCAACAUCAUGAUAAUCCUGUAAAUAUGUAAUCAUGAACAUGAUGAACAAUAGAAAAAUAAAAACCAAACUCUCACAACAAAAGAUUAAACAAAACCCAAAUAAAAAAAAUAGGACAUGAAUUAAGAGGUAAUAAAAAAUUAAGAAAAGAUUGGGGAUUUUCAUCCACGAAAGGUGAUGGAAGCCCCUUGGAUAAUAACACAUAACAGCAAUGACUACAUCAAGACAUAAUUUAAAGAUAUUUCAGACAUAGACAAUUAUUCAAUAUUCUCUUAAACAUAACUUGUUUUAUUCUAUAAACAGAUUAUGUUUAUUUUGAUAUAAAUAAUUAACUAAAAAUUUCAUAUUACAUUUUUAGAAAGCAAACAAAGAACUCAACAUAAUUAUUUUUAAUAGUGAUAAUUGCAUAUCGCACCCCAUUAUUUUUGUUCAAGAAAUAAUUUUAUAUCAUAAUUAUAAAUUAUUCAAAUCGGAAUCCAUUAUUUCAACCCGCUAAAUCAGCUUCAUCCCUAGAGUUAUAUGUGCAUAAAUGCGUGUCGUUAACAUUCAAAAUCAAGAACCGGCUUAACAAUAAAGCAAAAUAAGCGGUCACUUAGCGCACCACACAUAUAAGAAGCUUAUAAUUAUUAAACACACACAUAAAUAUUAAUAUUUUCUUCAUGAAAAUAAAUAAAUAAAUGGAUUUAAAAAUUUUUGAGCUCUUGUAUGUAUGAGGGUCCUAAAGCCCUGCUCUCGAAUUAUAAUUAGGGAGGAAAGCAGGUGAAAAAAAAGAGUAAAGUCAUAUACCUUUCACUUCUGUUUGUGCUCCCGAAUUUUUCAAAAGGAGGAAAGCAAGUGAAAAUAAAUGCAAAUAUAACAUACUUUCACUCCAAAACUUUCACUCCUAAAAUGGGAUGAAAGUAAAAGCACAUUUGCUUUCACUUGCUUUCUCUCAUGAAAAAACUUAGGAGCAGGGCCUAAGUGACCGCUUUUUUUGUUUAAUUAUUGAGCCGAUUCUCGAUUUUUAAUGUUAACGAUACGUAUUUAUGCAUAUUUAAUAGAAGAUGUGCAAAUUGAUCUAGCGGAUUGAAGUAAAGAAAUACAAUUUAAAUUAUUCAUAAUCAUAAUAUAAAAUUGUUUUUUUAAUAAAAGGAUAUAAAAUUGUUUCUGAUAAAAAUAGUAGGGUGUGAAUCCUGUUUUGGUAAUUACCGUGUAGGGGGAAAUUAAAUGUACACAAUUGUACAGCCCACUUUUACAACCAACAAAUCGUGAUCGUUGGUUGGGUGAGAUUUUCGAUGCUGGGUGCGUACAUCAGUGACUUAAAGUCACUGAUCAGUGACUUUAUAUCACUGAUGUCCCCUCCAUAAUUCUUUUUCCUAUCAUACCCUUACCGCAUUAAUAACAACAGUGAAUUCAAGUUCCUGAUGGUGUAUACAUUAAUAACAACAGUGAGUUUAAGUCCCUGAUGUGUACAAUGUUAUUUACAUUUUUACUAAAUGAUCCAUACUUACGGAUGUUAAGGUCUAAAUAUAUCAGUGAUAUUAUAUGAAUUUCAGAAGAAAAAAAAUAACUCUAUUUGUAUUGAGAUUUUAGCAGUCAAGUAGUGGUUUGUUUGACUUGUACUAUUAUCGUGUACUUUAUCAUGUAUUGCUCUUUAUAUUUUUUAAAAAAUAUUGAUCAAUGAUCUAACCGUACGGAUGUGAAGAUGUAUAUAUUUUGAUGCUAAUUAAGAAGAAGUUUCAGGAAAAAAUAACUAUAUUUGGAUUGAGAUUUUAGCAGUCAACUACUGUUUUGAUUUGUACUAGUAUCUAGUGUUUUAUCAUGUAUUACUGCUUACAUUUUUUUAAAAAUAUUUCUGGAUGAUCCAACCGUACGGAUGUGGAGAUUUAUAUAUUUUGAUGAUAUUAAAAAUGUUUCAUAAAAAAAUAAUUUUAUUUGGUUGGAGAGUAGCAGUCAACUAGUGGUUUGACUUGUACUAAGAUCUAGUGUUUUAUCAUGUAUUACUGCUUACAUUUUUAAAAAAAUAUUUCUGGAUAAUCCAACCUUACGGAUGUGAAGAUUUAUAUAUUUUGAUGAUACUAAAAAAGUUUCAGAAAAAAAUAAUUUUAUUUGGAUGGAGAGAUUUGUCUCAACUAGUGGUUUGACUGGGAGUAGCAUCUAGUGUUUUAUCAUGUAUUACUGCUUACAUUUUUUUAAAAAUAUUUCUGGAUGAUCCAACCGUACAGAUGAGAAGAUUUAUAUAUUUUGAUGAUAUUAUAAAAGUUUCAGAAAAAAAUAAUUUUAUUUGGAUGGAGAGUUUAGCAGUCAAUUAGUGGUUUGACUUGUACAAGCAUCUAGUGUUUUAUCAUGUAUUACUGCUUACAUUUUUUUAAAAAUAUUUUUGGAUGAUCCAACCGUACGGAUGUAAAGAUUUAUAUAUUUUGAUGAUAUAAAAAAAAGUUUCAGAAAAAAAUAGUUUUAUUUGGAUGGAAAGUUUAGCAGUCAACUAGUGGUUUGACUUGUACUUGCAUCUAGUGUUUUAUCAUGUAUUACAACUUACAUUUCUUUAAAAAUAUUUCUGGAUGAUCCAACCGUACAGAUGUGAAGAUUUAUAUAUUUUGAUGAUAUUAAAAAAGUUUUAGAAAAAAUUUUUUUUAUGUGGAUGGAGAGUUUAGCGGUCAACUAGUGGUUUGACUUGUAGAAGCAUCUAGUGUUUUAUCAUGUAUUACUGGUUACAUUUUUUUAAAAAUAUUUUUGGAUGAUCCAACCGUACGGAUGUAAAGAUUUAUAUAUUUUGAUGAUAUAAAAAAAAGUUUCAGAAAAAAAUAAUUUUAUUUGAAUGAAUAGUUUAGCAGUCAACAAGUGGUUUGACUUGUACUAGCAUCGAGUGUUUUAUCAUGUAUUACUGCUUACAUUUAUUAAAAAAAAAAUAUUUCAGGAUGAUCCAACUGUACGGAUGUGAAGAUUUAUAGAUUUUGAUGAUAUAAAAAAGGUUUCAUUUAAAUUUUUUUUUUUAGGUGUAGAGUUUAGCAGUCAGCUAGUGAUUUGAGUUAUACUAGCAUCUAUUGUUUUAUCAUGUAUUACUGCUUACAUUUUUUUAAAAAUAUUUCUGGAUGAUUCAACCGUACAGAUGUGGAGAUUUAUAUAUUUUGAUGAUAUAAAAAACAAUUCAUAAAACAAUAAUUUUAUUUGGAUGGAGAGUUUAGCAGUCAACUAGUGGUUUGAAUUGUACUAGCAUCUAGUUUUUUAUCAUGUAUUCCAGCUUAUAUUUUUAAAAAAAUAUUUCUGGAUGAUUAAACCGUACGGACGUGAAGAUUUAUAUAUUUUGAUGAUAUUAAAAAAGUUUCAGAAAAAAAUAAUUUUAUUUGGAUGGAGAGUUUUGUAGUCAACUAGUGGUUUGACUUGUAGAAGCAUCUAUUGUUUUAUCAUGUAUUACUGCUUACAUUUUUUUAAAAAUAUUUUUGGAUGAUAAAACCGUACGUAUGUGAAGAUUUAUAUAUUUUGAUGAUAUUAAAGAAGUUUCAGAAAAAAAUAAUUUUAUUUGGAUGGAGAGUUUAGCAGUCAACUAGUGGUUUGACUUGUACUAACAUCUAGUGUUUUAUCAUGUAUUACAGCUUAUAUUUUUUAAAAAAUAUUUCUGGAUAAUCCAACCCUACGGAUGUGAAGAUUUAUAUAUUUUGAUGAUAUUAAAAAAGUUUUAGAAAAAAAAAAUUUAUUUGGAUGGAGAGUUUAGCGGUCAACUAGUGGUUUGACUUGUAGAAGCAUCUAGUGUUUUAUCAUGUAUCACUGCUUACAUUUUUUUAAAAAUAUUUUUGGAAGAUCAAACCGUACGGUUGCGAAGAUUUAUAUAUUUUGAUGAUAUUAAAAAAGUUUCAGAAAAAAAUAAUUUUAUUUGGAUGGAGAGUUUAGCAGUCAACUAGUGGUUUGACUUGUACUAGCAUCCAGUGUUUUAUCAUGUAUUACAGCGUAUAUUUUUUUAAAAAUAUUUCUGGAUGAUCCAACCGUACGGAUGUGAAGAUUUAUAUAUUUUGAUGAUAUUAUAAAAGUUUCAAAAAAAAUAAUUUUAUUUUAAUGGAGAGUUUAUCAGUCUACUAGUGGUUUAAUUUGUACUAGCAUCCAGUGUUUUAUCAUGUAUUAUUGCUUACAUUUUUUAAAAAAUAUAUCUGGAUGAUCCAACCGUACGGAUGUGAAGAUUUAUAUAUUUUGAUGAUAUUAAAAGAGUUUUAGAAAAAAAUAAUUUUAUUUGGAUGUAGAGUUUAGCAGUCAAUUAUUGGUUUGACUUGUACUAGCAUUUAGCGUUUUAUCAUGUAUUACUACUUACAUUUUUUUAAAAUUAUUUCUGGAUGAUCCAACCGUACGGAUGUGGAGAUUUAUAUAUUUUAAUGAUAUAAAAAAAAUUCAUAAAAAAAUAAUUUUAUUUGGAUGGAGAAUUUAGCAAUUAACUAGUGGUUUGACUUGUACUUGCAUCUAGUGUUUUAUCAUGUAUUACAGCUUAGAUUUUUUAAAAACUAUUUUUGGAUGAUCCAACCGUACGAAUGUGAAGAUUUAUAUAUUUUGAUGAUAUUAAAAAAGGUUCAGGAAAAAAUAAUUUUAUUUGGAUGGAGAGUUUAGCUGUCAACUGUCAACUAGUGGUUUGACUUGUGGAAGCAUCUAGUGUUUUAUCAUGUAUUACUGCUUACAUUUUUUAAAAAUAUUUUUGGAUGAUCCAACCGUACGGAUGUCAAGAUUUAUAUAUUUUGAUGAUAUUAAAAAAAUUUCAAAAAAAAUUAAUUUUAUUUGGAUGUAGAGUUUAGCAGUCAACUAGUGGUUUGACUUGUACUAGUAAAUUGACAUUUAUCAUGUAUUUGUGUUUCUAUUUUUUUGAAAAUAUUUCUCGACGAUCCAACCGUACGGAUGUCAAAGUCUAUAUAUUUUGAUGAUAUUAAAAAAGUUUCAGAAAAAAAUAACUAUUUUCCGUUUGAAAUCUUAACAGUCAACUAGUGGUUUGACUUGUAUAUGUAAGUAGUAUUUUAUCAUGUAUUGUCGUUUCAAUUUUUUUGAAAAUAUAUCUCGAUGAUCCAACCGUACGGAUGUCAAAGUUUAUAUAUUUUGAUGGUAUUAAAAAAGUUUUAGAAAAAAAUAAUUUUUUUUGGAUGUCAAAGUUUAUAUAUUUUGAUGGUAUAAAAAAUAUUUUAGAAAAAAAUAAUUUUUUUCCGUUUGAUAUUCUAACAGUCAACUAGUGGUUUGACUUGUAUUUUGAUUAUUUGUAAGUAAAAUUAUUUUUCAAAAAUAUGUCUGGAUGAUUAUAAAAAUUAUAAAUUAUAUUAUUAGUUAUAAGUGAUGAGUUUUUAUGUUAAGCAAUAUAAUCAUCUAAAUUGAAAAGAUAAUAUGUGUUGUGUUGAACUUGUGCAAAAUUCCAUCCUUUUCAUUUUAUUAUUGUUCUUAAAAAAUCACGAACUUAGUUUUUUUCGUUAAUUAUAGAUAUAACGAAGCUCCUAUACCUUAUGUUAAUCAAAUGCUAAACAAAAAUCAACAUUUUUUGGAGUUUUACUUAAAAUCAUGUCAGUGACUUGAAGUCACUAGUAUUGACUUGGAAUUUUUUUUUCCCGUGUCGCUUAUUUGUUACUUAGGAUUCUUUUCAAACCUCUAAAUCAAUCUCCAAAAUUACAACAGUGACUUGAAGUUACUGAUUUUCUUUACUUAGAAUUUUUUCCAAGAUUACGCAUUAGUGACUUCAGCUCACUAAUGUUCUUUACUUAAAUUUUCCAGCCCUCUAGUUUUGGGGAGCUAUUUUAACGAUUUCAUCAGUGACUCAAGGUUACGAAUAUCCCCAGAAUUACAUUAGUGACUUCAAGUCACUGAUUACGAAUAUCCCCAGAAUUACAUUAGUGACUUCAAGUCACUGAUGUUUUUGACUUAGAAUUUUUUCCAGCCCUCUAGUUUUGGGGAGCUACUGUAACGUUUUCAUCAGUGACUUAAGGUCACGGAUAUCCCCAGAACUAUAACAGUGACUUGAAAUCACUGAUGUUCUUUACUUAAAAAAUUUUCCACCGCUAUAGUCUUGGGAGCUAAUAUAACGAUUUCAUUUCAUCAGUGACCUUAUUUAUGAUUUUUUUUACUAGGUAGUUGGGGUGUUGGUACAUUGUUGGUUGAUGUAAAUUAAAUGCAACAUCACUGAUCUCAUGUCACUGAAGGUGAGAGGGAUAAUACCGACAUUUUAGAUUUUUCGCUCAAAAUCAGUGACUUCCGGUCACUGAUUAGUGACUUGAAGUCACUAACGUAGCUAUUUAAUAUUUUUUUCAUGCGUCCGAAAGAUCAUGUCACUGAUGUACUUUAUUUAAUGCACACCAUUAGUAACUUCAAGUCACUGAUGGUGUACACCUACAUUUCCUGCAGGAUUGUGUACAUGUAACCGGCCCCCUACGGUGUAACUAUGCACGCACUUCCAAAAUCCUAUCUACUCAUUUGUUUAUACUUUAUUAUAAGUUGAUGCAUCAAAACAAAAUUUGGUCAAAUUAUUGAAACGACAAUUGGGCUUCACUUGAUCGCGAAAAGAUAGGAUGUUCUUCCGCAGUUGUUUUUUUUCGCAGGAACAGUUAUACUCAUGUCUACCUAGAUCGCUCAGUGGUAUGUCCAAUUAUUAUCUCUGCUUUGUCUGUAUCUAUAUAUUUUCUUAAUUCAUCAUUGUAAUAACAUGUUUGUAUCCAUCUAUUUUGAUUCCACGCCAAAUCCACGUCUUAUACUUGCCAAUUUUCGUACCUGUCUUUAUUUGCUCCAGUAGAUUUAAUUUUAUAAUAUAUGCAUGUAUAGUGUUUGUGUAUAUGUAUGUGAAGGCAUAUUCUUUGUGUGUGUGGUUGUAUGGUUUGUUUUUGUUGGAUGUCCCAGAGUUGAUUUAAUUGUACUACUUGUUCGGUCCCAUCCAUUUGUUUGAGCACGGAGGUUAAGAAAAGUUGCGAGGAAGUACAAGAAAACUGGGUCUGUAAAGAUGAUCAGGCAUGCAGAGAUAACCAACAUAGUUUUAUGCCGUUUACUUUUGAUACAUUUGGGUUCCUAGCUUCUGACACUGUUGAGUUUCUUAGGAGAGUUGUGAACAGGAACGUGAUGGCUGCAGGUUCGGCUGAAUAUGUUUUUCGAAGAAUUAGAUUUUCUAUUCAACGAGGACUUGCAGCGCAAGUUGUUACCCGUAUACCUUGUACACUUGUAUUGUUGUAUACAUAUUUUACUGCUUAUGAUAAAACAUAUAAUAAAUGGGGGGGCAAAAACCCUUUUCUUAUGUUCUACUAUAAUCUAUAAUAUUUGUCAUAAACUAAUGUAUAAUUCAACUUUAUAGUGAAUUCCAUUUUUAUCUAUUCCUAAAUAAUAACAUUAAAAAAACAUCAAGCAGGAAUAGAUAGUAUCUGUAUAUGCGAUUUUUUUUAUUGUGGCAGUGGACCAUAGUAGAAGUUUGCACUGGGUAACCAGUGACCGGUGUAGGGGAAAAGUUGCAAAGCAACAAAACAAGUGUAUCUUCUAGUUUAGAAUUGUACUUGUGGUUGCUAACUGAAGAACCUGGUCUAAAUAAAGUGAGAUGUCAGUAGAAUCCUAGAAGGGAAUGUGAAGAACCGUACUGAAUGUCUAAUUUUAGUCUUUAGACCUUGGGUCACAGUUUCCAUUUUGACAGGUAAAGGCUUGCUAGAAAUUUUAGGAAGUUUUCAAUCACUUGACGUGCACAAUGAUUAUUUCCGUGUUUACUGGAAGUAAAGAUGGAUCCUUCUGAGAAGUGAUGAGUCAAAACUGAAGUUCCUUUACUGGAUGAGAUGAAGGAUUCUUGAAGAACAAGUAAGAGUGAUAAUGAAGCCCUUGAUGCUGAUGAUUACAUUGAAGCAGAGCUAUAAAAAAUAAACAAUAUGACCCUAAAGGAAGCUGAUGCAGCUGAAGAUGAAGCAAAUGAAAAUUCUCAUGUGGCAGUGCGCAAGGCACAAGGAAAAGCAGCAAGUCACAGUCGAGCCAUAGAAGAAGCCCACAACAAGUAUCCCAAGACUGGUAAAUUAUCAUUUUGUUAUAGGAUUUAAUAAAUUUUUACCAUAUUUCCUAUAUUUUAUGAAAAUGGCUGAAACAUUACAUGGACUGUAGUUUAUUAUAUUCUUGGAACAAAUAAUGGAAUAAAACUUGUUAAGAUAGGAAGUUCUUUGUGGAUGUUAUAUAAUGUGUAUAUAGGUUUACCUGUAGAAUUCAAACUGAAAAAGAAUGUUAUUACCUGUAAGUCACUCCCUCUGUCCCGGUGAAAAGUAUACACUUGGAAGUUGGAACAGAGGGCUAGGCACGCAUUUUAAGGCUCUUGUAAAAAACAAUCCAAUAAAUUAUAUUAAUUGUUUUUCUUCAGAAUAAAACUUUAAUGUCUAAACUUUUAUUCAGAAACAAAAAAUUUAAAAAUGAGUUAUAAAAUUAUAUUUUAUAAAAACCUUAAAAUGUGUGCCAAAUAGUGGGAAAAAAAAACUGUAUAAAAAUGAGUGGGACGGAGGGAGUAAUAGUUCCAUAUUAAAGGUAAACAUUUUUUUUUGAAUAUAUAUGUAUACAACAUACUAUCAAGUGAAAUUAUUAGUGUUUUCACAAAUUGAUCUAGAAAAUAACUUUUUGGAUGAUAUUUAGAGACGAAUAUAAGAUAAUUACUGGGUACAGAUGUGCAGAUACAAAUUUUGCUAGGAUGAACCGUUUGAUGAAAGGCAACUUUACCUAGCCUCACAUGGCCUUUUUCUUGGUAAUGGUUAGUAGGUUGUUUAGAAGGAUAGUUGCUAGCAGGCUUGUCUCUUCGCUAACCUUCUAAACAACCCUUUAGCAAAGAUGGAAAUUGAAAUACUGGCAUAUGAAUAAUGGGUAUAUAUAUCUGUGAUUCUCCUUUGUUUCUGUGUUAAAAGUUGCUUCCUGCGCUUGCUCUUACUCUCUGCACUGCAACCCUUGAUGCUGAUGAUUACAUUGAAGCAGAGCCAUAAAAAAUAAACAAUAUGACCCUAAAGGAAGCUGAUGCAGCUGAAGAUGAAGCAGAUGAAAAUUCUCAUGUGGCAGUGCGCAAGGCACAAGGAAAAGCAGCAAGUCACAGUCAAGCCAUAGAAGAUGCCCACAAGAAGUAUCCCAAGACUGGUAAAUCUUCAUUUUCUUAUAGGAUUUAAUAUUUUUUUUACCAUAUUUCCUAUACUUUCUGAAAAUGGCUGAAAGCAAAUAUGACAUGGAAUGCAUUCUAUUAUAUUCUUGGAACCAAUAAUGGAAUAAAACUUGUUAAGAUAGGGAGUUCUCAGUGGAUGUUAUAUAAUGUGUAUAUAGGUUUUCUUUCAGAAUUCAAACUGAAAAAGAAUGUUAUUACCUGUAAGUUACUCCCUCUGUCCCGGUAAAAAGUAUACACUUGGAAGUUGGAACAGAUGGCUAGGCACGCAUUUUAAGGCUCUUGUAAAAUACAAUCCGAUAAAUUAUUAUUAUUUUUCCUUCAGAAUAAAACUUUAAUAUCUAAACUUUUAUCCAAAAACAAAAAAUUUUAAAAAUGAGUUAUAAAACUAUAUUUUAUAAAAACUUUAAAAUGCGUGCCAAAUAGUGCCAAAAAAAUCUGUAUAGAAAUGAGUGGGACGGAGGGAGUAAUAUUUUCAUAUUAAAGGUAAACAUUUUUUUUAAAUAUAUAUGUAUACAACAUACUAUCAAGUGAAAUUAUCAGUGUUUUCACAACUUGAUUUAGAAAAUAGCUUUUUGGAUGAUAUUUAGAGCAUCAGUACUGAAGAACAUAAGAUAAUACUGGGUACAGAUGUGCAGAUGCAAAUUUUGCUAGGAUGAACCGUUUGAUGAAAGGCAACUUUACCUAGCUGCACAUGGCCAUUUUCUGGGUUAUGGUUAGUAGGUUGUUUAGAAGGAUAGUUGCUAGCAGGCUUGUCUCUUUGCUAACCUUCUAAACAACCCUUUAGCAAAGAUAGAAAUUGAAUUACUGGCAUAUGAAUAAUGUGUAUAUAUAUAUAUGUGAUUCUCCUUUGUUUCUGUGUUAAAAGUUGCUUCCUGCGCUUGCUCUUAUUCUCUGCACUGCAACCUCUCAUUUUACAUGAAAAAUUGAAGCGGAAACAAAGAUAUGUAGUCACCAAACUCCAGAGGAAGCUGCUAAGGACGCAUUUUAAGGCUUAUUGGAGCUAUAUCCAAGACUUUUAAAAAUUGUCCCAUGACCGGUAAAACGUUAUUUAUUUGUUGUGCUUGAGCUUGUUUCUCAUGUUUUCUAUUGCCUCUGCAAAUAUUUGACAACUGAUGUGAUGUGGACUGCAGUUUAUUAAUGUGGAUAUAUUUUAAAUAACUCUAACCCUUAGCGCAAAGGCAUAUAGAUCGUACUACUUUGGUCUUAAUAUAGACAGAAGUGCAAAUAGUCUGCUAGGAUAAAAUAUUAUAAAUUCGCCAACUUUAGUGCAGAAUUAAAAGUAAAUGAUCUCCGUGUGUUGUGCUGUUGUAAGUUCUCGUUCAACUUGUCCUUAUUAUCACUACAACAACCUCCUAGUUGCAUAACAGAUUACAUACUUUAUAAGAUAUUGGUUUGGGCGAAUCAUUAGCCGAAAUGAAGUAAUAUAAAAGAGCAUAUGCCGGAGGGUAAUUAAAGUUUGGAUACUUAUAAGACGUAUUUUAAGCUAGGAAGCACGGACUCGGAUACGACGACAUAAGACACGGGGGUUCGCCAACUAUCAAAGACACCCGGAUACGGGACUCGGCACAAAAAAUUAAUAAUAGUAAUAAAAUAGGAUUCAUAUAUGUCAAACUUCAUUCAUAAUAUAAUAUAAUGUCUUUACGAUAAGUGGUAAUCUAAUAUAAGAUUCAUUUGAUGCAUUUUCAUUCCUCCCUCUCUAUAACAUCUUGUUGAGAUGCAUAAGAGGUGGUAGCUUGUUUCCUGACAUUUUCGGAAACAUUUUUGAAAUCAUCACUCAUUGUAGCAAUUCUUUUGUCGAUCCCAGUGAUCAUGGUACUAAGUUUGUCCACCUUAUUUCCGAGAGCUACCAAAUUAUCGGGUUUCUUCUUAUCAGCCUCUUCAUCGACUUGUUGAUUGGCUCUUUCUGUUUCCUCCUCCAUAGCCUUUCCGUUCUCAGGUGAAUCAAGAAAGGGUUGAUCGGUAAACAUUUUCUUGCCUGCUCGUGUCCAUGGACGUCACCCCCGUGUCAAAGGGCCGUCCCCCGUAUGCGUGUUGACACGCCACAUGGGUAGUCGGACCGACCUCAGCCGAUUCGCUGAGUAGGACAUGCACACCACACCCAUUUUGAUCAGUAUGGGCUUCCUAGGUCUUAAGUAUGUGACACAUACACAUGACAUUAAUGCUUUGGUAUUUAUGUCAAAUAUAAUGAAUGUAUAUGAUGUGUUGUGAUGUCAUGUGUGUUGGGGAUAAAAAUACGAGAUUCAACUUCUAAUGCAAAACACACACACAAAAAUAUAUGACGCGGAAAAUCCACGUCCCAGCUUGUAUUAUUAAUCAAAACUGUAGUCAAUAAUACAAUCCACCAAACUUGGAUACUCAAGGCUCACAGUACUCAAGCAUCCGCCUUCGAGCAAUACCUAAGUCUACAUCUUGAACACGCCUAUCAAACACAAUAUGACUAUGUAUAUAUAGCCAUCUGAAACUUAUACAAAUUAUAAUCUAAUUCUGAAAUACCUAACUCGAGUUAGAAUCCAAUUCUGAAAUCUAACUCAAAUUUUCUAUGGAUCAAUGCAUUUUGUUGAUUUAGAAUGUUUUGUAAAUAUGUUUUGAACUAGAACGGAGGGAAAAUAAAGGGAAUUUCGAAGUUUGUCUGUAGAAACAUUUCUUAGGUUGCACGAUAUAUUCACAUCAAAUCGUGUUUAUAGUAGAUACCCUGUAAAGUGAUCACCUCCAGGUCAUAUCUUCCUUAUUUUAAAUUAGGAUAAACCCCUCAUGAUAUCCGUCUGUAAUGAUACUUCCGCUCAGUUACCCGGACUCUUCGAUUUUGGCUUGACCGGACAAGACAUGGGUGUGGGUACCGGAUCUGAGUCUGGUUUUUCAUAUUGAAACCGGACACUUCAUCUUAUAACAAUUUAAGUGCAAAAUGAUGAUAUAAAAUGCCUUAUAACAACUUGUUCUAAGAUGUAAAAUGGAUUAAAUGAGCUAGUUGUAGUUGUGAAUUUUGUAGGUUGCAAAUUCCCUUUGUAUUUAUAAGAGGUGUUUAUAAACUUUGAAGAUGUACAAUUCAUGAUAAUUUUAUUGGAUGGAAGUGUUACAUGAGUAAAUCUUUUGGAAAUCCCACAAACUAUGGAUAUUGUAUGUAUUCAUUGGCUAAAACACAUAUUAAAUUAUUUCAGAGCAAUAUAAUUGUGAAUCCGUCUGUAAUGAUACUUUCGCUCGGUUACCCGGACUCUUCGAUUUUGGCUUGACCGGACAAGACAUGGGUGUGGGUACCGGAUCUGAGUCUGGUUUUUCAUAUUGAAACCGGACACUUCAUCUUAUAACAACUUAAGUGCAAAAUGAUGAUAUAAAAUGCCUUAUAACAACUUGUUCGUAAACCAUAUAUGACUCUUUUUUUUUAUGUUAUCCUUGACUUUAUGACACAAAUAUGAUGCAUGUAAUCACGUGCAUACCCUUAAUUGGUAGAAGACAUUAGUCAUACAUACCUUCUAAGAUGUAAAAUGGAUUAAAUGAGCUACUUAACUUUUGGGCACACAUGUUAAAGUGCUUUGACCAAGAAAAUGAAAUAAAUAAUUUACGGAGCUACGUGGUCAAUGCACUUUAAACUGUGUGCUGAAAUUCAACUGCCUCAUAUAAUUAGAUCUAAUUUGGGAUGGAGCUGUGGAGGGAGUAUUUUUGUAGGCCCUAAUAAUAUUAUUUUAGAGGGGCUUUAUUGUAUCCAUAAAUUUAAGGUCUUGUGACAUAUGAGUGUACAUCUUGAUGUUUGGAUUGAAGUGGAAUAAUAACAUGACAUGUUCUAUAAAGUUUUACUGAGCAUGUUUAUAUUUGCGUGGUGGGAUUCAAGGAAGUUAAGAUUUAAAUAGGAGUUCGUCAAGCUAAAUUAUUCGUAUAAAUAUUCUGUUUAAGAUUUUCAACGUGAGACUACUUCGAGUUACAACUUACAAUCUUUCCCUUUGUAAAGUUUAUGAUUUUUACUUUGAACUAAAGCAAUUGGUAAUGGGACUUCCAAAACUUUAGUGGACAAUGGGAGAGAAUAUGCCUAUAUAUAUAGAUGCACAGUAAUGAGAGACCCAGAAACUUUUCUUUUAAAUUUGAGAUAAACGUGAACCUCCUUAUAUGGGAUCACGACACAGUAGUGUGUAAGCAUUUACUUUUGUGGUUUACAAAGCACAACAUUGUGCUAAAGUAUAAAAUAUUCCAAAAAAAAUUAUCUAGCUGACUCGUCUCUUAUGGUUGUGUCAUGCAAAAAAUUUGUCACUACUUUUGUCAUGUAACCUUUACCACGCAGGUUGAUUAAAAACCUUGAAGAGUGUUCUAUCCACCUAUCCAAGAUGUUGGAUCUGCUGAUUUUUGGCAACUUUUACAAAAUUAAUGCAGUAUUGUUAAAAUUGUGGUGCCAAGCCUCGAACAGUUCUUGGCAGUGUUUUUGACUGGGAUGUUGAAAUUGUGGCGCCAAGUUUCAAACAAGUCCCACCAACGGUUCAGAAAUACAAGUGUCAAGGUUAGAUAUGCUUAUAAUUUUCUUAGCUUUGAUUUAUUCACUUACGAUGGGGUUUGUCUGAAAUGGAAUUAGACAUUUUAGUUGUGAUAAAUUGGGUCAGCUUAGUCCCUCCUGCGUUGUAAUAAGCUAAAGUGUAAACAAGGCCUAAGUCAUAAAUCUCGUUGUUGUGGUAUCUAGGUGCUUAACAAAAUGACUUUAGGUUGUGUAUUAUUGAAGGCUAUAGACAAGAUAAAGACGUCUCGUGGUACUACUUUGAAGUGUUCUUGCGAAUUUCUAUCUGAAACACGUUUUUUAGACUACCUUAUCUUUGUUUCUUANUAAGAUGUAAAAUGGAUUAAAUGAGCUAGUUGUAGUUGUGAAUUUUGUAGGUUGCAAAUUCCCUUUGUAUUUAUAAGAGGUGUUUAUAAACUUUGAAGAUGUACAAUUCAUGAUAAUUUUAUUGGAUGGAAGUGUUACAUGAGUAAAUCUUUUGGAAAUCCCACAAACUAUGGAUAUUGUAUGUAUUCAUUGGCUAAAACACAUAUUAAAUUAUUUCAGAGCAAUAUAAUUGUGAAUCCGUCUGUAAUGAUACUUUCGCUCGGUUACCCGGACUCUUCGAUUUUGGCUUGACCGGACAAGACAUGGGUGUGGGUACCGGAUCUGAGUCUGGUUUUUCAUAUUGAAACCGGACACUUCAUCUUAUAACAACUUAAGUGCAAAAUGAUGAUAUAAAAUGCCUUAUAACAACUUGUUCGUAAACCAUAUAUGACUCUUUUUUUUUAUGUUAUCCUUGACUUUAUGACACAAAUAUGAUGCAUGUAAUCACGUGCAUACCCUUAAUUGGUAGAAGACAUUAGUCAUACAUACCUUCUAAGAUGUAAAAUGGAUUAAAUGAGCUACUUAACUUUUGGGCACACAUGUUAAAGUGCUUUGACCAAGAAAAUGAAAUAAAUAAUUUACGGAGCUACGUGGUCAAUGCACUUUAAACUGUGUGCUGAAAUUCAACUGCCUCAUAUAAUUAGAUCUAAUUUGGGAUGGAGCUGUGGAGGGAGUAUUUUUGUAGGCCCUAAUAAUAUUAUUUUAGAGGGGCUUUAUUGUAUCCAUAAAUUUAAGGUCUUGUGACAUAUGAGUGUACAUCUUGAUGUUUGGAUUGAAGUGGAAUAAUAACAUGACAUGUUCUAUAAAGUUUUACUGAGCAUGUUUAUAUUUGCGUGGUGGGAUUCAAGGAAGUUAAGAUUUAAAUAGGAGUUCGUCAAGCUAAAUUAUUCGUAUAAAUAUUCUGUUUAAGAUUUUCAACGUGAGACUACUUCGAGUUACAACUUACAAUCUUUCCCUUUGUAAAGUUUAUGAUUUUUACUUUGAACUAAAGCAAUUGGUAAUGGGACUUCCAAAACUUUAGUGGACAAUGGGAGAGAAUAUGCCUAUAUAUAUAGAUGCACAGUAAUGAGAGACCCAGAAACUUUUCUUUUAAAUUUGAGAUAAACGUGAACCUCCUUAUAUGGGAUCACGACACAGUAGUGUGUAAGCAUUUACUUUUGUGGUUUACAAAGCACAACAUUGUGCUAAAGUAUAAAAUAUUCCAAAAAAAAUUAUCUAGCUGACUCGUCUCUUAUGGUUGUGUCAUGCAAAAAAUUUGUCACUACUUUUGUCAUGUAACCUUUACCACGCAGGUUGAUUAAAAACCUUGAAGAGUGUUCUAUCCACCUAUCCAAGAUGUUGGAUCUGCUGAUUUUUGGCAACUUUUACAAAAUUAAUGCAGUAUUGUUAAAAUUGUGGUGCCAAGCCUCGAACAGUUCUUGGCAGUGUUUUUGACUGGGAUGUUGAAAUUGUGGCGCCAAGUUUCAAACAAGUCCCACCAACGGUUCAGAAAUACAAGUGUCAAGGUUAGAUAUGCUUAUAAUUUUCUUAGCUUUGAUUUAUUCACUUACGAUGGGGUUUGUCUGAAAUGGAAUUAGACAUUUUAGUUGUGAUAAAUUGGGUCAGCUUAGUCCCUCCUGCGUUGUAAUAAGCUAAAGUGUAAACAAGGCCUAAGUCAUAAAUCUCGUUGUUGUGGUAUCUAGGUGCUUAACAAAAUGACUUUAGGUUGUGUAUUAUUGAAGGCUAUAGACAAGAUAAAGACGUCUCGUGGUACUACUUUGAAGUGUUCUUGCGAAUUUCUAUCUGAAACACGUUUUUUAGACUACCUUAUCUUUGUUUCUUAGCAGCCUUUUUUGAUUGACAUUCUUAGCUUCUGUUUCGAAUUGGAGGUCCUCGAAGUAUUUGGUUUUAUUUAUUCAGCCCCCCUUGAUACAAUGUUAAAUCUUCAAAUUUCCAUUUGUGUUCUGAAUCCUAGAAACAAUGGUAGUAACUUAUGUUUUAUUGUGAUGAUCAUGAUUAGUGACCAAGUUAAAUUUUUUAGGAGAGAACAAACUAGUAUUCUGUUUAUGCAUUUCGUAAAAAUAGUACUAAAUCUGAUUGUGUCAAUUGAACUUGUUUUGCCUUCUUGACGAUUAAGUAAAACUUUCAAAACUAAAGCCACAUCAAUAUAGUAUCAAAAUUCAAAAGUAUAUUGGAUAUUGGCGGUUUAUUUUAUCUUUGCUAUACAGGUUUUGAUAUAAGGCUUGAAUAUUUUAAUUAAGGAUUGACAAUUCCCUUUAAUAUUAAUACCUAUAUAAUUUUAUACAAUAUUAGGGAUACAUUCUGUAAAACAUAUUGAAAAAGGAACUGUGCAAGGCCGCUGAACAAAAGUAAUGUUUUCAGGGAUUUCACUUGGAUACAUUGUAAUUUUAUGUUAUUCACUCUCAGGCGACAGAGUCAAUUCUGAAUAAGGUUAGCCAUUCUCUAAUACUCUUUUGACUCUUUUGAGAAAUAAUGCUCAAUAAAGAUUGCUGAAGGCUUAUACUCUUUAGCGAUAUGCUUUUGUUAUAUAGCUCAUAUUACAUUACUUCUAAUCUUUUGUGAAAGGUUAUCUGGUAAUUCUAUGUUUGAGAAGUUGAUUAGACUAAAGCUAUAUCGUCAAUUAAUAUAGUCUGCUACCUACAUGUCAGUCAAAUUAUGUAAUUGUUGGUGUGCCCAAGGCAAUGUGUUCUCUUAAUUAAUAUUACUAAUAUAAUGUUAGAGAAAAAGUCAAUUUAACUACAUUUUUCUCAAUAUUACUAAGAAAAUGUAUGGGACUAACCUGUUGUGAGCUAUAAUAUAUAAUUGUACAUUGUGUCAUGAGAAAUUUUCGUGAGAAUGGCGUAAUGACUCUCUGACAUUAAAAUCAUUAUCUCUCUGGAGGAUAUGGAUGUUGUUAUUUGAUUUCAUCAAUUUUACUUUAACCGGGUUGAUGACAAAGUUGGUUGAGGGAAAUUUUAUAAUUUGGAAAAGGAGAAGUAAGGUCGCUGAAGAAGGAUAAGUUGGGAAAGAGGAAGAUCGGGAUUGGGCGGCGGCGGGGGUUGGUGGCGAUGGUAGGGUAGGUNGUAAAAUAAGGGGUAAAAAUAAUAUUUCUAAUUUAGUGGUUAUAUUCAAAUAAUUUGUGAUUGUUUCCAGUUUUUAUUUUAACAUUUGUUUCUAAUGAAGCAUAUCUCUAUCUAUCAUGCUUAUUAAGUCGACAAGUCGACAUUGGGCGCCCGGAUACCUUGGAAUCGACUAGUCGACAAGUCGUCCGACUAGUCGAAACAAGUCGUCAAGUCGUGAUAUACAUAAAUAUAUAUAUAUAAAUAUAUAUAUAUUUACUAUAUAUAUAUAUAUAUAUAGUAAAGAUUAUAAUAUAUAUAAUUUUUAAUAUAAAUAUUAUGAAAAAAAAUAAUUAAUAAAAUAAUUUUAGUUAAAAAAACAGGAUUGAUAAAAUCAAUAUCAAAAUAUUUUAAGUAAAAUAAAAUUAUAAUGGUA
rnacentral:lncRNA from 1 species